rnacentral:rRNA from 1 species
CCUACGGGUGGCUGCAGUGGGGAAUAUUGGACAAUGGGGGCAACCCUGAUCCAGCCAUGCCGCGUGUGUGAAGAAGGCCCUCGGGUUGUAAAGCACUUUCAGUGAGGAAGAACGCCUGGUGGUUAAUACCCAUCAGGAAAGACAUCACUCACAGAAGAAGCACCGGCUAACUCCGUGCCAGCAGCCGCGGUAAUACGGAGGGUGCGAGCGUUAAUCGGAAUUACUGGGCGUAAAGCGCGCGUAGGUGGCUUGAUAAGCCGGUUGUGAAAGCCCCGGGCUCAACCUGGGAACGGCAUCCGGAACUGUCAAGCUAGAGUGCAGGAGAGGAAGGUAGAAUUCCCGGUGUAGCGGUGAAAUGCGUAGAGAUCGGGAGGAAUACCAGUGGCGAAGGCGGCCUUCUGGACUGACACUGACACUGAGGUGCGAAAGCGUGGGUAGCAAACAGGAUUAGAUACCCGAAUAGUC